GAUGAACGCUGGCGGCGUGCCUAAUACAUGCAAGUCGAGCGAACGGACGAGAAGCUUGCUUCUCUGAUGUUAGCGGCGGACGGGUGAGUAACACGUGGAUAACCUACCUAUAAGACUGGGAUAACUUCGGGAAACCGGAGCUAAUACCGGAUAAUAUUUUGAACCGCAUGGUUCAAAAGUGAAAGACGGUCUUGCUGUCACUUAUAGAUGGAUCCGCGCUGCAUUAGCUAGUUGGUAAGGUAACGGCUUACCAAGGCAACGAUGCAUAGCCGACCUGAGAGGGUGAUCGGCCACACUGGAACUGAGACACGGUCCAGACUCCUACGGGAGGCAGCAGUAGGGAAUCUUCCGCAAAGGGCGAAAGCCUGACGGAGCAGCGCCGCGUGAGUGAUGAAGGUCUUCGGAUCGUAAAACUCUGUUAUUAGGGAAGAACAUAUGUGUAAGUAACUGUGCACAUCUUGACGGUACCUAAUCAGAAAGCCACGGCUAACUACGUG
rnacentral:rRNA from 1 species